AGCAUUAGCUUACAGGAGGGUAGGGGAAUUAAGGUUUCAGAUGGCUUUGAGGUUGCCAAUAUUUUAAACAGGGGGAUUUUAGGGAGUUAGGAUACAAACCAAGGAAUGUGAGCAAGCUUUAGAACCUUGAAAAGGCGAGGUAACAGAUUCUCCCUCCAGCCUCCAGAAAGGAAUGUAACCCUCUUGAGACUGAUUUUAGCUCGUGAAGACCCACUGUCAAACCUCUGACCUACAGAACUGUGGAGGCCAUGUCCACACAUGAAAAUUUGGAAAAAAUACCCACAUUAUUUAAAAUAGUAAAUUACUAGAAAAUGUACUGAAAAUUACAACGUAUGCAUUCGUUCAUAUCUAAGGUUAUCUUGAAGAUAAAAAUUUUAGAAUGGCUAUCAGUGAGUAUGAGAGGACACAGGGAAGUCUCACUUCAUCAAACUCAGAAGGCUCCAUGCAUACAGCAAGAGAAGCUCUCUAUUCCAUGUGUGAUAUGUACCUGGUGGCUAGCAUACUGCAGAGACUAAAGAAAGACAAGCAGAUCUUUCAUAGAAGCACUAGAAAGAUCCUGUGUUUUCAGGGAAUUUUUGCACAGUCACUGAUAAAAAUGUCGAACAUUUCUGCAAAUAAUGUUAAGGGUUUGACUCCAGAAGGCCACUUCCCAGCACAGAACAAGAUCAGAGAAGGUGGGAAGAGGAGGGACAUGCAACAACCUCAGGAAAACAAGGAUUCCCCGCUGGACUGGCAAAUGGUGGGUUGCCUUAAGCAAAUGUGGUGAAGUUUUGUGUUUGUUUGUAUUAACUAGUUUCCAUCUUAACAUAAAAUCAAGGGAUCCCUGGGUGGCGCAGCGGUUUGGCGCCUGCCUUUGGCCCAGGGCGCGAUCUUGGAGACCUGGAAUCGAAUCCCAUGUCGGGCUCCCAGUGCAUGGAGCCUGCUUCUCCCUCU